ACACGUCGUGACAGAAAUCAAUCAGUAUAGUAAUAUUAUGUACACGGUACACCAUAAUAGGCGUAGCAUACAAGGUAUAUUGCGACUAUCGUGAGGAUUGGAUAUCGCUUAAUGUUUCCAGUGUAGAAUUAUUGUGAAAAUCUUUCUGAAAAAUACCGAAUAAACCAUUAAAAUAUAAGUUACGAAAAAAAAAAGAAUAUCUGAAGCACUGUUUUGUUUAGAGUACAUUUAAAAAUUGCUUUCCUGUAAACACGGUACAAAUUAAACAAAACCCACGUAUUAAAAAAAACCGCUUUUGUUCCACUUGGCUCAGGUUCGCUUUGAUGUUGAUUCCAGAUUUGCACCUGGAGGGGAAGAUGCA